rnacentral:rRNA from 1 species
GGUUAAGCGACUAAGCGUACACGGUGGAUGCCCUGGCAGUCAGAGGCGAUGAAGGGCGUGCUAAUCUGCGAUAAGCGCCGGUAAGGUGAUAUGAACCGUUAUAACCGGCGAUACCCGAAUGGGGAAACCCAGUGUGAUUCGUCACACUAUCAUUAACUGAAUCCAUAGGUUAAUGAGGCGAACCGGGGGAACUGAAACAUCUAAGUACCCCGAGGAAAAGAAAUCAACCGAGAUUCCCCAGUAGCGGCGAGCGAACGGGGAGGAGCCCAGAGCCUGAAUCAGCAUGUGUGUUAGUGGAAGCGUCUGGAAAGGCGCGCGAUACAGGGUGACAGCCCCGUACACAAAAGCGCAUGUGCUGUGAGCUCGAUGAGUAGGGCGGGACACGUGGUAUCCUGUCUGAAUAUGGGGGGACCAUCCUCCAAGGCUAAAUACUCCUGACUGACCGAUAGUGAACCAGUACCGUGAGGGAAAGGCGAAAAGAACCCCGGCGAGGGGAGUGAAAAAGAACCUGAAACCGUGUACGUACAAGCAGUGGGAGCACAGGUUUACCUGUGUGACUGCGUACCUUUUGUAUAAUGGGUCAGCGACUUAUAUUCUGUAGCAAGGUUAACCGUAUAGGGGAGCCGGAGGGAAACCGAGUCUUAAUUGGGCGUUAAGUUGCAGGGUAUAGACCCGAAACCCGGUGAUCUAGCCAUGGGCAGGUUGAAGGUUGGGUAACACUAACUGGAGGACCGAACCGACUAAUGUUGAAAAAUUAGCGGAUGACCUGUGGCUGGGGGUGAAAGGCCAAUCAAACCGGGAGAUAGCUGGUUCUCCCCGAAAGCUAUUUAGGUAGCGCCUCGUGAAUUCAUCUCCGGGGGUAGAGCACUGUUUCGGCUAGGGGGCCAUCCCGGCUUACCAACCCGAUGCAAACUGCGAAUACCGGAGAAUGUUAUCACGGGAGACACACGGCGGGUGCUAACGUCCGUCGUGAAGAGGGAAACAACCCAGACCGCCAGCUAAGGUCCCAAAGUCAUGGUUAAGUGGGAAACGAUGUGGGAAGGCCCAGACAGCCAGGAUGUUGGCUUAGAAGCAGCCAUCAUUUAAAGAAAGCGUAAUAGCUCACUGGUCGAGUCGGCCUGCGCGGAAGAUGUAACGGGGCUAAACCAUGCACCGAAGCUGCGGCAGCGAACGUAUCACCCAAGACAACUUUACGGAGUUGACGAUUGACGGAGCGAAGCGACGUCAAAGCGUUCAUUAAAGUCGAGUUGGCUUAGGGAUACGUUCGUUGGGUAGGGGAGCGUUCUGUAAGCCUGUGAAGGUGUGUCGUGAGGCAUGCUGGAGGUAUCAGAAGUGCGAAUGCUGACAUAAGUAACGAUAAAGCGGGUGAAAAGCCCGCUCGCCGGAAGACCAAGGGUUCCUGUCCAACGUUAAUCGGGGCAGGGUGAGUCGACCCCUAAGGCGAGGCUGAAAGGCGUAGUCGAUGGGAAACGGGUUAAUAUUCCCGUACUUGGUGUUACUGCGAAGGGGGGACGGAGAAGGCUAUGUUGGCCGGGCGACGGUUGUCCCGGUUUAAGCGUGUAGGUGUGUGUUCCAGGUAAAUCCGGUUCACUUUAACACUGAGGCGUGACGACGAGGCACUACGGUGCUGAAGCAACAAAUGCCCUGCUUCCAGGAAAAGCCUCUAAGCAUCAGGUAACAUCAAAUCGUACCCCAAACCGACACAGGUGGUCAGGUAGAGAAUACCAAGGCGCUUGAGAGAACUCGGGUGAAGGAACUAGGCAAAAUGGUGCCGUAACUUCGGGAGAAGGCACGCUGACACGUAGGUGAAGUGAUUUACUCAUGGAGCUGAAGUCAGUCGAAGAUACCAGCUGGCUGCAACUGUUUAUUAAAAACACAGCACUGUGCAAACACGAAAGUGGACGUAUACGGUGUGACGCCUGCCCGGUGCCGGAAGGUUAAUUGAUGGGGUCAGCGCAAGCGAAGCUCCUGAUCGAAGCCCCGGUAAACGGCGGCCGUAACUAUAACGGUCCUAAGGUAGCGAAAUUCCUUGUCGGGUAAGUUCCGACCUGCACGAAUGGCGUAAUGAUGGCCAGGCUGUCUCCACCCGAGACUCAGUGAAAUUGAACUCGCUGUGAAGAUGCAGUGUACCCGCGGCAAGACGGAAAGACCCCGUGAACCUUUACUAUAGCUUGACACUGAACAUUGAGCCUUGAUGUGUAGGAUAGGUGGGAGGCUUUGAAGUGUGGACGCCAGUCUGCAUGGAGCCGACCUUGAAAUACCACCCUUUAAUGUUUGAUGUUCUAACGUGGACCCGUAAUCCGGGUUGCGGACAGUGUCUGGUGGGUAGUUUGACUGGGGCGGUCUCCUCCUAAAGAGUAACGGAGGAGCACGAAGGUUGGCUAAUCCUGGUCGGACAUCAGGAGGUUAGUGCAAUGGCAUAAGCCAGCUUGACUGCGAGCGUGACGGCGCGAGCAGGUGCGAAAGCAGGUCAUAGUGAUCCGGUGGUUCUGAAUGGAAGGGCCAUCGCUCAACGGAUAAAAGGUACUCCGGGGAUAACAGGCUGAUACCGCCCAAGAGUUCAUAUCGACGGCGGUGUUUGGCACCUCGAUGUCGGCUCAUCACAUCCUGGGGCUGAAGUAGGUCCCAAGGGUAUGGCUGUUCGCCAUUUAAAGUGGUACGCGAGCUGGGUUUAGAACGUCGUGAGACAGUUCGGUCCCUAUCUGCCGUGGGCGCUGGAGAACUGAGGGGGGCUGCUCCUAGUACGAGAGGACCGGAGUGGACGCAUCACUGGUGUUCGGGUUGUCAUGCCAAUGGCACUGCCCGGUAGCUAAAUGCGGAAGAGAUAAGUGCUGAAAGCAUCUAAGCACGAAACUUGCCCCGAGAUGAGUUCUCCCUGAGACUUAGAGUCUCCUGAAGGAACGUUGAAGACGACGACGUUGAUAGGCCGGGUGUGUAAGCGCAGCGAUGCGUUGAGCUAACCGGUACUAAUGAACCGUGAGGCUUAACCUU